UCGAACCGAAUCGUUCGCGAACAUGUUCGAUUGAGUAAUCGAACGUAAAACCAUAUGCGAGCUCGACUCGAUAAGAUAUCAAACUCAAACCGAACCGGAUCGGAUAUUCGUUUGGUUGGUUUGCAGAGCUAAUUAUUAAUGCCAAUAAUUCACCUUCAAGUAAAAUAAAAUCAGUUUUAGAAACAUGUUCCCUUUUGCUUAAAACAAGCUGAAUCUGUAUUC
rnacentral:lncRNA from 1 species